UGGAGCAUGUGGUUUAAUUCGAUGAUACGCGAGGAACCUUACCUCGGGCUCAAAUGUAUGUUGACGUAUUCUGAAAGGGAUACUUCUUCGGACAAUAUACAAGGUGCUGCAUGGUUGUCGUCAGCUCGUGCCGUGAGGUGUCGGGUUAAGUCCCAUAACGAGCGCAACCCCUGCAUUCAGUUGCCAUCGGGUGAAGCCGGGCACUCUGGAAGGACUGCCAUCGACAAGAUGGAGGAAGGUGGGGACGACGUCAAGUCAUCAUGGCCCUUAUGUCCAGGGCGACACACGUGCUACAAUGGCCGGCACAACGGGAAGCGAGUUCGCGAGGACGAGCGGAUCCCUUAAAGCCGGUCGCAGUUCGGAUUGAAGUCUGCAACUCGACUUCAUGAAGCUGGAAUCGCUAGUAAUCGCAGAUCAGCCAAGCUGCGGUGAAUACGUUCCCGGGCCUU
rnacentral:rRNA from 1 species